AGCAGCCGCGGUAAUUCCAGCUCCAAUAGCGUAUAUUAAAGUUGUUGCAGUUAAAAAGCUCGUAGUUGAAUUUCGGGAUUGGCGCAUCGGUCGUGCCUCACGGGGUAUGAACUGGUGCAGUCAAUUUCUCACCUUCUGGAGAACCGCGAUGUCCUUAAUUGGAUGCCGUGGGGAACCAGGACCUUUACUUUGAAAAAUUAGAGUGUUUAAAGCAGGCAUUUUUGCUUGAAUACAUUAGCAUGGAAUAAUAAAAUAGGACGGCAUGGUUCUAUUUUGUUGGUUUCUAGGACCACCGUAAUGAUUAAUAGGGAUAGUUGGGGGCAUUAGUAUUCAAUUGUCAGAGGUGAAAUUCUUGGAUUUAUUGAAGACUAACUACUGCGAAAGCAUUUGCCAAGGAUGUUUUCAUUAAUCAAGAACGAAAGUUAGGGGAUCGAAGACGAUCAGAUACCGUCGUAGUCUUAACCAUAAACUAUGCCGACUAGGAAUCAGACGAUGUUAAUUUUUAAUGACUCGUUUGGCA
rnacentral:ncRNA from 2 species